rnacentral:lncRNA from 1 species
AGCACAAGUUUCUUUAAUCUAAUUAUUUUUUAAUUCAUAUGGAGUCUGGCUGAGAUAUUAAAAAGGGCCAAAUCUGGAAAAAAUUCCUCCACUUUUACCCCAUGUAGAUUUUUCGUUUGUUGGAGCACAAUUUUGAAACUUUCAGCCGUAUACAUUUUUUUUCCUUGGUUGCUACUUAAAUAAAAACCAGGGAUGUAGCUGCUGUCUGAGAUAAACUCCUUUUCACUUGUACUUUCAUCUGCCUGCCCCUGCUUUUUUAAUGCCUGUAUGGCAUUCCCAACUUUGCAGUUUUUUUUUGUCACUUAAAGCAUUAUUUGUUUUUCUCCUGCGUUUUGAAGCAGCCUUUUGUUUUACCUCUAAUGUUGUCACUUCCUCCUCCUUCUCUUCCUCCUCGACCUGUUCGCACCAUGUCAUCUUUUCCACUGUACCAUUAUUCUGUACUUCACCUGCCUCUCCAACCUGUGUUUUACUGACUUCACCUGUCUCCGUUUGCUCUUUGCUCUUUUUAUCUAUUUUCUUUUCAUUUUCAUCACCCACUUUACUUUCACCUGCCUCACCCAAAACACUUUCCUCACUUUUCUGUACAUCAUUAAUACACACACCCUGUGAAACAUCACCACCUGCCUCAUGCACCAGGUCAGACACAGCAGUGGCGCGGUGCUGCAAGGUUUGCGGAGCCGCCACAGGCCACCCAGUCAAAGCUAUCACAUCCGUAACAGCAGCCACCGCCAGGGGGGGGUCCCUCACCACCACCGUCAGCGGCCGCCCCCUGCGGUGGGAUCUCCCCCUCAGCAGCAGCCACCUGUCGCUCGACUACAACCGGCGCAGCUGCGGACGGCUCCACAGCAGCCGCCGCCCCUCCUGGACCAGACGAAGCUGGCUCCCCGCGCAGGCUCUCACGGUGUGUCCCUCCUCUCCACAACCAAAACACUUCAUAACUGAUGAAGUCGCACAAAUCACAUAUUCAUAAUCAUCUACUUUAAUGUAGAAGCUGAGGUUGAGC